UGACUACUGGCAGGAUCAACCAGGUAGCACUCCUCGAUCGACAUCAGCACGCAUGAGCCCUUCCGAAUUACGAAAGGGUCAACUCGUGCUUAAUUGUCGUCCGUGCUUAGCGUAAAACGCUACAUUGGGUGUGCAACACAAUCAUGUCCACUCCCACUCAACAUUCCGCAUCCCAGGGCACAACCAAGGACCAUUACCCUUUCUGAAGUGCUUGAUUUAGCAUAUUCAGUGGCUAACGGACUUGAUUUUGUAGGUUCACCAGACACCCCACUAAGGAUGUAGGGCGAAGAACAUAACUUCAAGGCAACCAAUACCAUCAAUAGGAAUUCAACACAGGAAACCACAUGUCGCCCAAGGCUAAUUGCACUUGAGCAAACAAUGAAGAGGUAUGCUAGUGAACGGUUCAGUGCAAAAGCAAAG
rnacentral:misc_RNA from 1 species